rnacentral:rRNA from 1 species
AACGAACGCUGGCGGCAUGCCUAACACAUGCAAGUCGAACGAGACCUUCGGGUCUAGUGGCGCACGGGUGCGUAACGCGUGGGAACCUGCCCUUAGGCUCGGAAUACCACCCCGAAAGGGGUGCUAAUACCGGAUAAUGUCUUCGGAUAACAGAUUUAUCGCCCUUGGAUGGGCCCGCGUUGGAUUAGCUAGUUGGUAGGGUAAGAGCCUACCAAGGCGACGAUCCAUAGCUGGUCUGAGAGGAAGAGCAGCGACACUGGGACUGGGACACGGCCCAGACUCCUACAGGAGGCAGCAGUGGGUAAUAUUGGACUAUGGGGGAGAGCCUGAUCCAGCAAGGCUGCGUGAGCGAUGAAGUCCUGAGGGAUGUAAAGCUCGUUUACCCGGGAUGAUAAUGACGGUACCGGGAGAAUAAGCACCGGCUAACUCCGUG